rnacentral:lncRNA from 1 species
CAGACUUGUUUAAUCUUUUUAUUGAAAAGCUUUUUACUGAAAUAAUGUGGCAUGAUAAUUUCCUACAGCGUACUGUUUCUAAUUAAGUAGUUGGAAAUGCAGUGCAUUGCACUUAAUCACCUCUGCUUCAUUUAAGUCCUCGCUAAAGAAAUGCCUUUAGUUUUGUUUUUAAUUAUUUUUCGGCCGCAGCCUUCAGGGUGGCGCUGCGGACGGAGGGCGUGCUGGCGGCAGGAGGCCUCUGCCCGGCCCCGCGGCGUGCCUGCCAUGCCCGGCCGUCGCUGACCGCAGCUGCGGGGCGGCCGUGCCCUGCAGUCUGAGAGAGAAACCCGUUUCUGCGUAUUAAUGCAUCUGCCUGACGCUCGCUGCGCACCGGGUUAGUGCUAAAUGCUGGAAGCACCACGGCAUUUAAUUGAUUACUGCCCAAACGUGCCCGCCUGUGUCGGUGUGCCUGCACGGUGACUUCCCAGGCGUGUUCUCUGUGACCCCACGGGCCGUGCCCCAUCCCCGGGCUGCCCGUGGGGCUGGCGGGCGCCCUGCAGCCAGCACACGCCUGCGUCUUCACGUCCCCCCGUGUCCCCCAGGUGCCUCAGGGAGGUCACCUCCGCCACUGCGGCAGCGAGAGGGCCCCGCCGGCCCCGUGGGUGGCUGGUGGCGGCAGGGGCAGGGUGGGCCGCAGGCACUGGCCCCACCAGGCCGUGCAGGCCCGGGCCGUGCCUCCGCCCAGGCACAGCGGCGAUGGAGGGAGCGGGGCGGCGAGGCGAGGCACCUCGCAGAGGGAGCCCUGGCUUCCACCCCGCGGCCUUCCUGCGCCGCCUCGGUGCUUCCUUAGGAGCGGCCUGGGCUGAGGCAGUGCCCAGGGGCUGCGUGCCGCUCAGUGACACCAGGGAGCUGCGGUCCCCUGCCUCGGGCUGACGCUGGCAGCCUUCGCCAGGUCCUUGCUACGGAGGGAAAUAGCUUGUUCCCCUUCCUAACAUGGAAUUCCAUUUGUUUACCAAAACCAUAAAUAAAUAAAAAUGAGAGCGAUGUCCUUAAGCA